rnacentral:lncRNA from 10 species
CCUGGUCCUGCGCCUGAGGGGUGGCUGUUAAUUCUUCAGUCAUGGCAUUCGCAGUGCCCAGUGAUGGCAUUACUCUGCACUAUAGCCAUUUGCCCCAACUUAAGUUUAGAAAUUACAAGUUUCAGUAAUAGCUGAACCUGUUCAAAAUGUUAAUAAAGGUUUCGUUGCAUGGUAGCAUACUUGGUGUUUUGUCAUGAAAUUCUCUAGUGAUGUGUGGGUACGCUUAAAACUGGUGAAAAUGUUUAGGGAUUUAAUUUUGAGAUUGGUAAUGUGCUCAAAGUUAAGUCACUUGACUUUGGUAUACACUUGGGUGGGCUGAGGGGCAAGAGCCUUCUUUGCUGUUUAAGUCAUUACAAGUUAGGAUCCUGGGUAAAUGGCAAACUUUCUGAAGCUCGAAUUUAAAGUCUGUUGGGAGGCCGAGGCAGGCGGAUCACGAGGUCAAGAUAUGGAGACCACCCUGGCCAACAUGGUGAAACCUUGUCUCUACUAAAAGAAAAAAAUUAGCUGGGCGUCGUUUCUCCUGCCUCAGUCCCCCACAUAGCUGGGACUACAGGGGCACACCAGCUAAUUUUUGUAUUUUCAGUAGAGUUGGGGUUUUACCAUGUUGAC